GACGAACGCUGGCGGCAGGCCUAACACAUGCAAGUCGAACGGACCCUUCGGGGUUAGUGGCGGACGGGUGAGUAACACGUGGGAACGUGCCUUUAGGUUCGGAAUAGCUCCUGGAAACGGGUGGUAAUGCCGAAUGUGCCCUUCGGGGGAAAGAUUUAUCGCCUUUAGAGCGGCCCGCGUCUGAUUAGCUAGUUGGUGAGGUAAUGGCUCACCAAGGCUACGAUCAGUAGCUGGUCUGAGAGGAUGACCAGCCACAUUGGGACUGAGACACGGCCCAAACUCCUACGGGAGGCAGCAGUGGGGAAUCUUGCGCAAUGGGCGAAAGCCUGACGCAGCCAUGCCGCGUGGAUGAUGAAGGUCUUAGGAUUGUAAAAUCCUUUCACCGGUGAAGAUAAUGACUGUAGCCGGAGAAGAAGCCCCGGCUAACCUCGUGCCAGCCGCCGCCGUAAUAC
rnacentral:rRNA from 1 species